UGAAGACUGAACGAAGAGGGAAUGGGUUUGAAAAGGCAUGGAACGCACACUGCGGAAGUGAAACUGAUAGAAAAGUCUGCGCGCGCACUAUAAAUCCGCCUCCAGUCCAUCUCUCCCACAUUCUGAACUUCCGGAAAAGUCCAUAGCUCCUUCCUGUUGCGGAAACUAAGUCUAAGGUCACGUGACGGUUCCUUUGGCCGAUCCUUUACAGCGACGGGAGCGAGCGCUUGGCCGGACUAUCUGCGAUAUAUUUGUGUGUGAGGGUCACUUCCAGCUCAGUCCCUCCCACGAGGAGCCAAUGGGAAUGUGGGAGGAAGCGAGUGACACAGGGA